rnacentral:snoRNA from 1 species
CUACUGUUAUUUAAAAUUACUGAAAGCCCAUUGUGCACUGGCUGAAAAUAGCAGCCUCUGCAGUUGGGCAUUCAGCCUGUUGCUUGUAUGAGUUCCCCUAAGGGACCUUAGACAGUU